GAUGAACGCUGGCGGCGUGCUUAACACAUGCAAGUCGAACGAAGCACUUUUCUUGCUUGCAAGAAAAGUGACUGAGUGGCGGACGGGUGAGUAACGCGUGGGCAACCUGCCUUACACUGGGGGAUAACAGGUGGAAACGACUGCUAAUACCGCAUAUGCACACAGUAUCACAUGAUACAGUGUGGAAAACGCCGGUAGUAGAGGAUGGGACCGCGGCGUAUUAGUUAGUUGGUGAGGUAAUGGCUCACCAAGGCGUCGAUCAGUAGCCGGCUUGAGAGAGUGACCGGCCACAUUGGGACUGAGACACGGCCCAAACUCCUACGGGAGGCAGCAGUGGGGAAUAUUGCACAAUGGGGGAAACCCUGAUGCAGCAACGCCGCGUGAGUGAAGAAGUAUUUCGGUAUGUAAAGCUCUAUCAGCAGGGAAGAUAAUGACGGUACCUGACUAAGAAGCCCCGGCUAACUACGUGCCAGCCGCCGCAGUAA
rnacentral:rRNA from 1 species